rnacentral:rRNA from 1 species
ACACCAGACUCCUACGGGAGGCAGCAGUGGGGAAUAUUGCACAAUGGGGGAAACCCUGAUGCAGCGACGCCGCGUGAGCGAUGAAGUAUUUCGGUAUGUAAAGCUCUAUCAGCAGGGAAGAAAAUGACGGUACCUGACUAAGAAGCCCCGGCUAACUACGUGCCAGCAGCCGCGGUAAUACGUAGGGGGCAAGCGUUAUCCGGAUUUACUGGGUGUAAGGGGAGCGUAGACGGCGAUGCAAGCCAGAUGUGAAAGCCCGGGGCUCAACCCCGGGACUGCAUUUGGAACUGUAUAGCUAGAGUGUCGGAGAGGCAGGCGGAAUUCCUAGUGUAGCGGUGAAAUGCGUAGAUAUUAGGAGGAACACCAGUGGCGAAGGCGGCCUGCUGGACGAUGACUGACGUUGAGGCUCGAAAGCGUGGGGAGCAAACAGGAUUAGAUACCCCAGUA